UCUUUUACUUCAAGUACUUUGUUGUGCUUGUUUGUAGCUACAUGUCUGUUCCUGUCUUCCUGUAAUAUGUUCUCCUGUGUAACUUGAUCGAAGGGAGCUGCAAACAGGGAGGGACCUCGAAAGUGAAAGUAAGUGAGUAACAGACAGACUCCAUUUCACACGUUGACAGAGCAGCAGAAAGAGAACAGGGGAGCUGCAAACAGGGAGGGACCUCGAAAGUGAAAGUAAGUGAGUAACAGACAGACUCCAUUUCACACGUUGACAGAGCAGCAGAAAGAGAACAGGGGUUACUAGUUCAUCUCUCAGGAUGGAGAACAUGAGAGAUUUGGAUGAUGAGGAGGAGGACAAAUCUUCAGUGUCCAGAAAACCUCCAGAUUUGAGUAAUACACUUGGAGCAUCUGCCACAAGGUAAGAGUCUGUUUCUGCUGAACUGACCUGAAGAGGAGUCUGGUUUGAUCUGAGUAGCAGAUCACAGUACAGAGACUCAGUAAAGCUUCACUGUGGAGUUCAGUCAGACAACUCACGUGUUUCUUUAACAUGUUUAUU